rnacentral:rRNA from 1 species
UACGUAGGCAGCAAGCGUUGUUCGGAAUACUGGGCGUAAAGAGUGUGUAGGCGGUGCUCUAAGUUUGGUGUGAAAUCUCCGGCUCAACUGGGAGGUGCGCCGAAAACUGGAAUGCUUGAACAUGGGAGAGGAAGCGGAAUUCCUGGUGUAGCGGUGAAAUGCGUAGAUAUCAGGAGGAACACCGGUGGCGAAGGCGGGUCUCUGGGCAGUAACUGACGUGAGGAGCGAAAGCGUGGGGAGCGAACAGGA